GGAGGAUAUUUCGGGAAUGCAUGUGAAGGGGCUAACAAACAUGUAAAUGGGAGGGAAAAUCUGUAUUAAGAGUAGUAGCAGCAUGUAAGGGGUAUGCUGAAUAGUUAUUUGCAAUUACUAGCUUUUGAAGCUGGGUGGGCAGUAGACAUUCUGCCAGGGAAAUUCACUCUUGUGUUGAGACUGAGACUGAUUUCCUUGUUAUUCAAAACAAUUCCUCCUUUCCCAACCCUGUUUCCUCCUUCCUAUUCUCUGGUUGUUGUGUUUGGCUAAGUGCAGGUCCUCAAUCUAUC
rnacentral:misc_RNA from 1 species